rnacentral:rRNA from 1 species
GUUAAAAAGCUCGUAGUUGGAUUUCUGUCGGUGAGUUGCAGUCCGGCCUCUGUGUUAGGUACUUGUUACGCCACCGGCAUCUUCCUGGGGACUGUAUCUGCUCUUCACUGAGUGGUGCAUAAUCCAGGACUUUUACUUUGAGGAAAUAGGAGUGUUUCAAGCAGGCAUGCGCCGUGAACACGUUAGCAUGGAAUAAUAGCAUCGGACCUCGCUCCAAAGCUGUUGGUUUCUUGGAACGAGGUAAAGGUGAAUAGGGAUUGUUGGGGGCAUUCGUAUUUAAUUGUCAGAGGUGAAAUUCUUGGAUUUGUUGAAGACGGACUACUGCGAAAGCAUCUGCCAAAGAUGUUCUCAUUGAUCAAGAACGAAAGUUAGGUGAUCGAAGACGAUCAGAUACCGUCCUAGUCUUAACCAUAAACUAUGCCGACUGGAGAUCGGGGGUCGUUAACUUUGUGACGCCCUCUGCAUCUUGAGAGAAAUCAAAGUCUUUGGGUUCCGGGGGGAGUAUGGUCGCAAGGCUGAAACUUAAAGGAAUUGACGGAAGGGCACCACCAGGAGUGGAGCCUGCGGCUUAAUUUGACUCAACACGGGGAAACUUACCAGGUCCAGACAUAGUGAGGAUUGACAGACUGAUAGCUCUUUCGAGAUUCUAUGGGUGGUGGUGCAUGGCCGUUCUUAGUUGGUGGAGUGAUUUGUCUGGUUAAUUCCGUU